GACGAACGCUGGCGGCGUGCUUAACACAUGCAAGUCGAACGGAAAGGCCUGCUUUCCCUUGUGGAUUGCGGGUACUCGAGUGGCGAACGGGUGAGUAACACGUGAGUGAUCUGCCCCCAACUUGGGUAUAAGCCUGGGAAACUGGGUCUAAUUCCCGAUAGGACUGCAGGGUGGUGCCUGUGGUGGAAAACGAUUUUCUAGUGGUUGGGGAUGAGCUCGCGGCCUAUCAGCUUGUUGGUGGGGUAAUGGCCUACCAAGGCGGCGACGGGUAGCCGGCCUGGGAGGGUGGACGGCAACAUUGGGAAUGAGAUACGGCCCAGACUCCUACGGGAGGCAGCAGUGGGGAAUAUUGCACAAUGGGCGGAAGCAUGAUGCAGCGACGCCGCGUGGGGGAUGACGGCCUUCGGGUUGUAAACUCCUUUCGACCGCGAGGAAGCCACCUGGUUGGAAGGGUGGUGACGGUAGUGGUAGAAGAAGCACCGGCUAACUACGUG
rnacentral:rRNA from 1 species